rnacentral:rRNA from 1 species
GACGAACGCUGGCGGCGUGCUUAACACAUGCAAGUCGAACGGAAAGGCCCUGCUUUUGUGGGGUGCUCGAGUGGCGAACGGGUGAGUAACACGUGAGUAACCUGCCCUUGACUUUGGGAUAACUUCAGGAAACUGUGGCUAAUACCGGAUAGGAGCUCCUGCUGCAUGGUGGGGGUUGGAAAGUUUCGGCGGUUGGGGAUGGACUCGCGGCUUAUCAGCUUGUUGGUGGGGUAGUGGCUUACCAAGGCUUUGCCGGGUAGCCGGGCUGAUGGGGUGACCGGCCACAUUGGGACUGAGAUACGGCCCAGACUCCUACGGGAGGCAGCAGUGGGGAAUAUUGCACAAUGGGCGGAAGCCUGAUGCAGCAACGCCGCGUGCGGGAUGACGGCCUUCGGGUUGUAAACCGCUUUCGCCUGUGACGAAGCGUGAGUGACGGUAAUGGGUAAAGAAGCACCGGCUAACUACGUG